GACGAACGCUGGCGGCGUGCUUAACACAUGCAAGUCGAACGGAAAGGCCCUGCUUUUGUGGGGUGCUCGAGUGGCGAACGGGUGAGUAACACGUGAGUAACCUGCCCUUGACUUUGGGAUAACUUCAGGGAACUGGGGCUAAUACCGGAUAGGAGCUCCUGCUGCAUGGUGGGGGUUGGAAAGUUUCGGCGGUUGGGGAUGGACUCGCGGCUUAUCAGCUUGUUUGUGGGGUAGUGGCUUACCAAGGCUUUGACGGGUAGCCGGCCUGAGAGGGUGACCGGCCACAUUGGGACUGAGAUACGGCGCAGACUGCUACGGGAGGCAGCAGUGGGGAAUAUUGCACAAUGGGCGGAAGCCUGAUGCAGCAACGCCGCGUGCGGGAUGACGGCCUUCGGGUUGUAAACCGAUUUCGCAUGUGACGAAGCGUGAGUGACGGUAAUGGGUAAAGAAGCACCGGCUAACUACGUG
rnacentral:rRNA from 1 species